UACGAAGGGGGCUAGCGUUGCUCGGAAUCACUGGGCGUAAAGCGCACGUAGGCGGCUCUUUAAGUCAGGGGUGAAAUCCUGGAGCUCAACUCCAGAACUGCCUUUGAUACUGGGGAUCUCGAGUCCGGAAGAGGUGAGUGGAACUCCGAGUGUAGAGGUGAAAUUCGUAGAUAUUCGGAAGAACACCAGUGGCGAAGGCGGCUCACUGGCCCGGUACUGACGCUGAGGUGCGAAAGCGUGGGGAGCAAACAGG
rnacentral:rRNA from 1 species